CAACGGGGUGCCUGCGCUAACGCGCAAGCUGAGAAAAUACCCGUCGAACCUGAUCCGGAUAACGCCGGCGAAGGGAUUUGAGG
rnacentral:ncRNA from 1 species